GCCAAUCCUUGUCUACCCAUGGGUAGAUUCUUAACCAAUUAUUUCACCAAAUAAUUUUUAGUAUUCGAUUUUGCCCCAGACACCUCUUCAGCAGGCGUGUGGCGUCUCCACUGAAAGUUUUAGUUAGGUCCAACCAUUAACAUGCCAGAAUUUAAUGCAUCUAACAAACAAGUGAUCAAGCCCGAGUAUGGCUCAGCCAACCUGACCAUCAUCAGAAAGAUACAACUAAAUCAAUAUAUUAUGAAUGAUAAUUCUGACAGUC
rnacentral:lncRNA from 1 species